rnacentral:rRNA from 1 species
UGCAGUCGAGCGAAAGAAGGGAGCUUGCUCCCGGAUGUUAGCGGCGGACGGGUGAGUAACACGUGGGUAACCUGCCUGUAAGACUGGGAUAACUCCGGGAAACCGGAGCUAAUACCGGAUAGUUCCUUGAACCGCAUGGUUCAAGGAUGAAAGACGGUUUCGGCUGUCACUUACAGAUGGACCCGCGGCGCAUUAGCUAGUUGGUGGGGUAAUGGCUCACCAAGGCGACGAUGCGUAGCCGACCUGAGAGGGUGAUCGGCCACACUGGGACUGAGACACGGCCCAGACUCCUACGGGAGGCAGCAGUAGGGAAUCUUCCGCAAUGGACGAAAGUCUGACGGAGCAACGCCGCGUGAGUGAUGAAGGUUUUCGGAUCGUAAAGCUCUGUUGUUAGGGAAGAACAAGUGCGAGAGUAACUGCUCGCACCUUGACGGUACCUAACCAGAAAGCCACGGCUAACUACGUGCCAGCAGCCGCGGUAAUACGUAGGUGGCAAGCGUUGUCCGGAAUUAUUGGGCGUAAAGGGCUCGCAGGCGGUUUCUUAAGUCUGAUGUGAAAGCCCCCGGCUCAACCGGGGAGGGUCAUUGGAAACUGGGAAACUUGAGUGCAGAAGAGGAGAGUGGAAUUCCACGUGUAGCGGUGAAAUGCGUAGAGAUGUGGAGGAACACCAGUGGCGAAGGCGACUCUCUGGUCUGUAACUGACGCUGAGGAGCGAAAGCGUGGGGAGCGAACAGGAUUAGAUACCCUGGUAGUCCACGCCGUAAACGAUGAGUGCUAAGUGUUAGGGGGUUUCCGCCCCUUAGUGCUGCAGCUAACGCAUUAAGCACUCCGCCUGGGGAGUACGGUCGCAAGACUGAAACUCAAAGGAAUUGACGGGGGGCCCGCAUAA